CGGGGGGCCGAGGUGGGACCCUCCUUACCGAACGAUAUUUGAAUGUGCAGUGUCCACACAGAUUGUCUGAUGAAAAAUAAUGAGCAUGAAAACCCUUUCGUUGAAAGGCGGACGGGCUGAUGAGUCGUUAACCCUUCGACCGCUUGAAUUUGCCAGCAAAUUCGCGCCUUUACACCGAAAUAGCAAAUCAGUGAUUUGUUACGCAAUUUCCGUGUCCCCAUCGUCUAUAGGCCUAGGACACUGCCCUUUCACGGCUGUAUCAGGGGUUCUAAUCCCCUUGGGGACACCAUUCCGAUAAUGAGUGAAAGACUUUAUCACCGAAUAUCUUAAAUAUGACUUUAACGAGUCGUGUUAAAGAUAUUGCUCUUUAACGUUAUGGAACAAGCUGAAAAUUGAAAUGAUGAAUAGUUGAAAAAUUAUUCACGAGGCUCUCAAAAGCGCACAGCCGAUGAUGGAAACACCUUCGGGUUGUGAGGUUAAGAGACUAAUUGUACACGGUGGAGGCCUUGGCAUAAACUUUCCAAAAAUAAACCUUUUUCGGUUUUUCCCUUUUCAUCUCCUUCGUUUUUGUUUUUUUUCCUUCCCUUUUCUUUUUCUUG
rnacentral:misc_RNA from 1 species